rnacentral:rRNA from 1 species
CAAUAGCGUAUAUUAAAGUUGUUGCAGUUAGAACGCUCGUAGUCGGAUUUCGGGGCGGGCCGACCGGUCUGCCGAUGGGUAUGCACUGGUCGGCGCGUCCUUCCUUCCGGAGACCGUCCCUACUCUUAACUGAGCGGGGGCGGGAGACGGGACUUUUACUUUGAAAAAAUCAGAGUGUUUCAAGCAGGCAGCUCGCUCUUGCAUGGAUAGCAUGGGAUAAUGAAAUAGGACUUUGGUGCUAUUUUGUUGGUUUCGAACACCGAAGUAAUGAUGAGAAGGGACAGUCAGGGGCACUCGUAUUCCGCCGAGAGAGGUGAAAUUCUCAGACCAGCGGAAGACGAACCACUGCGAAAGCAUUUGCCAGGGAUGUUUUCACUG